rnacentral:rRNA from 1 species
UGGGGAAUAUUGCACAAUGGGCGCAAGCCUGAUGCAGCCAUGCCGCGUGUGUGAAGAAGGCCUUCGGGUUGUAAAGCACUUUCAGCGGGGAGGAAGGCGGUGAGGUUAAUAACCUCAUCGAUUGACGUUACCCGCAGAAGAAGCACCGGCUAACUCCGUGCCAGCAGCCGCGGUAAUACGGAGGGUGCAAGCGUUAAUCGGAAUUACUGGGCGUAAAGCGCACGCAGGCGGCCUGUCAAGUCGGAUGUGAAAUCCCCGGGCUCAACCUGGGAACUGCAUUCGAAACUGGCAGGCUAGAGUCUUGUAGAGGGGGGUAGAAUUCCAGGUGUAGCGGUGAAAUGCGUAGAGAUCUGGAGGAAUACCGGUGGCGAAGGCGGCCCCCUGGACAAAGACUGACGCUCAGGUGCGAAAGCGUGGGGAGCAAACAGG